CCUACGGGAGGCAGCAGUGAGGAAUAUUGGUCAAUGGGAGAGAUCCUGAACCAGCCAAGCCGCGUGAGGGAAGACGGCCCUAUGGGUUGUAAACCUCUUUUGUCGGAGAACAAAACCCGGGACGUGUCCCGGACUGCGUGUAUCCGAAGAAAAAGCAUCGGCUAACUACGUGCCAGCAGCCGCGGUAAUACGGAGGAUGCGAGCGUUAUCCGGAUUUAUUGGGUUUAAAGGGUGCGUAGGCGGUCCGUUACGUCGGCGGUAAAAUUGCGGGGCUAAACCCCGUCGAGCCGUUGAAACUGGCAGACUUGAGUUGGCGAGAGGUACGGGGAAUGCGAGGUGUAGCGGUGAAAUGCGUAGAUAUCGCGCAGAACUGCAGUUGCGAAGGCAGCGUACCGGCGCCAGACUGACGCUGAGGCACGAAAGCGUGGGGAUCGAACAGGAGUAGAUACCCUGGUAGUC
rnacentral:rRNA from 1 species